GGCAGGCUUAACACAUGCAAGUCGAGCGGAGAGAGGUAGCUUGCUACUGAUACUUAGCGGCGGACGGGUGAGUAAUGCUUAGGAAUCUGCCUAUUAGUGGGGGACAACAUYUCGAAAGGAAUGCUAAUACCGCAUACGUCCUACGGGAGAAAGCAGGGGAUCUUCGGACCUUGCGCUAAUAGAUGAGCCUAAGUCGGAUUAGCUAGUUGGUGGGGUAAAGGCCUACCAAGGCGACGAUCUGUAGCGGGUCUGAGAGGAUGAUCCGCCACACUGGGACUGAGACACGGCCCAGACUCCUACGGGAGGCAGCAGUGGGGAAUAUUGGACAAUGGGCGCAASCCUGAUCCAGCCAUGCCGCGUGUGUGAAGAAGGCCUUAUGGUUGUAAAGCACUUUAAGCGAGGAGGAGGCUACUUUAGUUAAUACCUAGAGAUAGUGGACGUUACUCGCAGAAUAAGCACCGGCUAACUCUGUGCCAGCAGCCGCGGUAAUACAGAGGGUGCAAGCGUUAAUCGGAUUUACUGGGCGUAAAGCGCGCGUAGGCGGCUAAUUAAGUCAAAUGUGAAAUCCCCGAGCUUAACUUGRGAAUUGCAUUCGAUACUGGUUAGCUAGAGUGUGGGAGAGGAUGGUAGAAUUCCAGGUGUAGCGGUGAAAUGCGUAGAGAUCUGGAGGAAUACCGAUGGCGAARGCAGCCAUCUGGCCUAACACUGACGCUGAGGUGCGAAAGCAUGGGGAGCAAACAGGAUUAGAUACCCUGGUAGUCCAUGCCGUAAACGAUGUCUACUAGCCGUUGGGGCCUUUGAGGCUUUAGUGGCGCAGCUAACGCGAUAAGUAGACCGUCCUGGGGAGUA
rnacentral:rRNA from 1 species